GGGUAGAGAUGAUAGUAAUUGGACACCAGGAAACCUUCCAUCCGAACCCCGUUUCAGGACAAGGUUCAUCAAGUUGUGUACGCCUUCAUGCUGCUUGAGGUUGUACUGUGAGAUCAUUCCGCAUACUGUGAUUUGGCCAUGCAGUUUCAUGUAUAGCAGCACGGCAUCAAGCAUCUUUCCACCGACAUUGUCGAAGUAGAUAUCGAUUCCCCCAGGGAAGCAUCUAAACAUUUAAGACAGAAAAAUGUCAACUCGAGCCAGCUUCAGAACAGGUACAUUUUUAAUAUUUUGUACAUCAGUAACUCAUUUGCUCAAUCAUCGUUAUUAUAUUUCUGGCUCACCUUUUCAAUGCUGCAUCCAGAUCCAACUCCUCCUUGUAGUUGAAAGCAUCAUCGAAUCCAAACUUGUUCUUCAGCAAAUCAACCUUUUUCAUGAACAUAACAGCAAGAGAGAAGUCUAAGUAAGAUAAAAUCCAUAAGAGACUAUUAAGACUGUAUUUUUAGCAUUUAUGUUUAGUGAAAUGAUGAGGGUACACAUUCAACACUGCCAUCAGUGUCUUGAGCAUUCUCAUAGUUGAGAUAUACAGCAGUAACAGCAUUCAUCAUAUCUCAGGUGCUUCUUUUAGAUCUUAUUCUAUUUUAGACGAGAGGAACAUGUGUUCCAUUUCAAACGCUUGUCUAGUCACUCAUUAUGAAACAAAAGUGAAAUUUGCAGAUGCCAAACAUGCUUGGUGAACCAUUAACAUCGACAUGAUUUUGUGCUUCUUUAAACACUAGACAUGUGGGAUGAUUACCUUCUCUUUGCUACCGGUGCUGCCAACAACAUAACAACCCAGCACCUUUGCAAACUGGCCAACAAGCUGACCAAUGGCUCCUGCCGCCGCCGAUAUGAAAACAAUCUCUCCUUUCUUAGGAGAGCAUACCUCGAAAAACCCAGCAAAGGCUGUCAUGCCUGGCAUACCUGGAAAGUACCGAUUUGCACAAAUUAGAUGAGUUUCAAGAUUUCCUGAAGCACAGGAGUAGGAGUGUAAACCUGUGGCAUAAUCUCAAGUGAUCUGAUUAAUUGAACGAAGGCAAAGCCCCUGAGAAAUGGAUUGACUUCUCAGAGGAGGCUUCUAUUUCAUUGAGAACUAAUCGAUUUACACAUUCAUUCAACACGAAAGACAGUUUCGCAGGGCUCUAGUUUUAAGGCAAUUCAACGAGGGCAUAUGGCUCUAUAACAAGGAAGAUCCCUACAAGUAAAAAUUCAAGGGAAGCACACCUUUUCCUUGCGUAGCUGGAGGCUGUUCGUACUUGAGAAUGAAAUAGACAGAACAAAGUAUCUUAACAAUCUGAUUCCCAUCAUUCUUAAACACUGAAAGACAUAACACACCAGAAGAUUAAAUAGCAUACCCAAAAGGCCGGUGUAGGAAGACAGGGGAACAUCAGAGUGUUCAAUUUUAACGCAAGUAUCUGGCGCAGUAAUUAGACUAUACUCCUCCCAUCCAGUGAUGCCCCAGACCAAGUCGCCUGUCUUGAAGUUUGGAUGCCCAGAUUCCAAAACUCUAGCUACUCCAUAUCCAUGAAUAGGCUGCUUCAAUAUGUUAAACACCUCAGAAUAUAAGUGCACAUCCGUUUAGCUAUCACGAAUAGACUUUGAGCUGACAAGAAGGGAUGAGUGUGCUUCCUUUGAAUUUUACUUGUCGAGUAAACUCAGUCGCAACUUUGAGUUUGAUGUAGACAUGCGAGGUCAUAACUUACUGUUGGCAUCAAUAUCGAAUCAAUGUGACGAGAGAGGUGGCGGUACUUACGGAGCCGAGAGGAGUGAAGUGCUUGAUGAGGUUGAGAUUGUAGGAAUCGCAAGCCAGGUACAAGUUCUUCACCGCAAUGGUCCCUGAAUCUUUGUCGGCCUUCAGUCUCUCCGAACUCGUCUUCACUUCCAAGUGGGUCUCUGUCAGGGAAUAUUGGACCUCCUCUCUGUAUAUUACCUGUUUGUUGCUCAUCACUUCCACUGAAGCAUUGGGACUCUCCUUCUCCAUUCUCUCUCUCUCUCUCUCUCUCUGUGAGAAACAUGGCCAAAUAGCGCUCGUGCAUUUAUUGGGAGAGGGAUAAUGAGAUAUGCUUACGUGUGCUCGUAUGUCAUCGGCACGAACGCUUACGCAUGCCGUUGUGUCAUCGGUGGAAAUAGUAUUUUACUCCUAGGGAACAAAAGCAGUUGAUCAAAGUGGCCAAUUGACUUCUACUCAUUAGAAACUUCUGUGAUUUGUGGUAAAACGUAAAGGAAUAUUUUACGUGGUAAACGAAGAAUUUAAAGAGAAAUCUGAAAGGGUUGUUAAUUGGACACUUUCUUUACGAGUCCUCUCUUCUUGUCCCUUUUCGUUAGUGCUGGAUCUUGUUUUCCACUUAGAUAAAGGUAAGUGUCUGUAAUUGACAGAUAAGUAUAUGAAAACCCUAAAGUUUAUUGUGAUCAAAGUGGCCAAUUGAAUUCUACUCAUUAGAAAAUUCUCUGAUUUGUGGUAAAACUUAAAGGAAUAUUUUACGUGGUAAACGAAGAAUUUAAAGAGAAAUCUGAAAGGGUUGUGCUGGCAUCGCCCGUAGCCACAAAAUUUUCCUUUCUCCGGCACAAGUUGUGGAAAUUUCCAAGCAAGUUGACGAGCCGUCUUCCAAGUUAAUGGGACGCUUGGCAAGCAAAAUCCAGUCUAAAAAUAAUGUAAUUUUUAAGGAGCAAAGCUGCACAUCGCCAGUUUUCCUUUUCCUCACAUUCUUCAUCUCCUUGACUUGAUUCGAGCGCAGUAGUGUGCAUUUGCAGUGGGGUGGUGAAAUCGUAAUCAUUGGUUGAAAAAAGCAAAUGAUGAAUGGAUGAGCUUAAAUUUCUUUUUAUUUAAAUUGAUCGUAUAUGAAUGGGUCUACAUAGACUUAACCGAGCCAACACCAAAAAGAGGACUACUUAAUUAGACUUACUCAUUUUUCAGUACAGAUCGAUACGAUCCAUGAUCACUUCUAAAACAAAGACACAACAAGCAAUCUUUGUUUUUGCGUCUUUGUUUUUGUCCAACUUUGAAAUACUCAUUUGACAUUUCGAGAUGUUGUGCCAUGAACGUUUCUCCGCUUUUGGACCGCUCCCAUAUAUGAUGAUGGAGGCUUGCUUCACAUCCGUCGUUCUUACUUCAUUUCACUAGUAGGCCUCUAUAUAAUUUGCAGUGUUCUGAUUACUUAAAAACCCACUUAUCAUAUUAUUUAUUUGAUUGGAUUGAUGUAAUUCUUUAAUUAGUCGUUGCUGUGCGUUUGGAUCGCCAACUCUCGAUACCAAGUAAAGCAAAAUCUAUAUAUGUUUUACCAUUCUUAAACUCACAAAUCUAUUUCUUUUUAUUUCUUUGAUUGAGUGACGUAAUAUUGAUUAUUUGUUAGAUUAAUUGGGUAAUUUUAUCCCUCUAUAUCAUUUGCCCCAACGUUUUGUAAUGGGAACGAUGAACGAUGUGACACCAAGUAAAGCAAAAUAAACUGGUCUUUCUCAUUCUAAUUUCAGAUUCAUUUCUCUCUCCAAUUUGAAAAUGUUAUUGCCGUUGUACUCUUAUUGCACUUCUUAAUUAACUCUUUUGAAUAUUUUGCAUUCCUUUCAAUUAUUGAUUUAACGCGAUCUUCAAUUGUUUUACGUUUUCAAUUAACGAAGAUCUAAUUCUAUGGUUUGCAUGAAAAAAUUCUUGUCUUUCUUUUUUCAACUUUUUAUAUUUCUUUUUUUUUUGGGGGGGGGGGGGGGGAAGAGUUCAUUUGAGUAAAUAAAAACUUACUGUCUAAUUCAUUUUCUUUGUGCUUUUCUUCUAUCUUUUUUAAAGCGCUAUGCUUGGUUAUUUACUUGAUGGAAAUGCUCUUAUUUGCAUGAACGCGAAAUCCCUCUUUCCCUUUUUCCUUCUUUCUUUUCAUUUCUGAAGGCGUCCAUUGUUUGCUGUUUUGUUGACAUUUCAACUCUGUUUUAUGACCCAAAAAAAACUCUGUUUUCUUUUUUCUUUUUUCCCUUUGCUUUGUCGAACUCCAAAUGUUACAGCAAGUGCACAUCCGUCUACUUCAACAGUUGAAUCAUAUUAUUUAUAUCUGUGUUUUUUCUCUGUGUUUAUCUUUUUAUUCUAUUUGUUAUUAUUAUAAAAUUUUUUCUAAUGAGUGUUUCUCAUUUAUGUUUGAUUGUCAAGAGAAAAAUAUCAAUUUCAGUCCUUCUCAUAUAGUUCUUUUUUUUAAAAUUAAACAAACAUAUUUAGUUGUUAAUACUAUUCAAAGUCAAACAACAAAUAUUCAAAUUAUGCGUAAGAAAAUAUUAAAUUGCAUGUUGAGUUUGAGUUGGUGCAAGAACUAUUAAGAAAUCCAUUUUCUUAUUGGGAUCAAGAUCCAACAGACCGUGUAGUUUUCUGGACUGGUUUGUUUGGCUUUUUCGGUUUGGUCAAAGGAGAUGUCUGGUUGUUUGACUCCUAUACGUAGCCACACAAGAGAGAAAGCCAUUAAAGAAAUGGAGGGGUGAAAAGGUCUUUGUCAGAGUAAAGAAAACAAAGUAAAAUAUAGUUUUUUUUUUUGGCUUUCACGGGGGCUCGGAUACACGAGAAUUUUGUGGUGUGAAUUUUAUAUCCAAGUUGAGUUGUAGCACUUACUAGUAAUUUAGGUGUGAGAAAUAUUUGAAUGUGUCUAUGAUUGUAACUUUGAUUCUCUAAUUAUAAUGAAUUAUUUACUACCAGUUUUCUCUGUGGAGAAAGUAUCGAUACUCGGAUCGAAUCACGUAAUUCAUUCAUGUCUUUUAUUUUUGUCAUUUAUUUAUCUAGUAAUUUCAUCUUGAUUUAAAUUGCAAAAUCUUGUUAAUUUCCUCAUUAAUUUUAAAAUGGGAAGUUUUGUGUCCAUACAUUUUAAAGAGAUUGUGUGGUCUUUAUACAUGCAAUGCACGUGACAUUCUACUAGUAAUUUGAAGAGGGAUAAUUACGACAAAAGUCUUAAACUUAUUGUUCGAAUGUCAAUUUAGUUCAAAUUUUUUUAAUUUAGCCAAUUUAAUCUUAAAUUUUUUGAUGAUUUGUCACUGUAAUCAUGCCGACCAGUUUUGGUCGAUAAUUGCUAACGUGGACAAAGAUGGUCUUACAUGGUAUAAUUGACGUUGAUGUAGAUAAUUUUUCUCUUUUUCAUGAUAUUUUCAUUUAUUUUUUAUUUUUAUUUUUUUCUUCCCUUGCUGGUUGUCAUGGCCAACAAUCAGCCAUAGUUGAGGGAUGGUAAGGGCAAGCCUCACCUAAGGCCCAUGAGAUCAGCCCUUGUGCGACCCUUGCUUAACGCUAGUUGCCAGCGAUUGCCAAGGCCCAACAACUGGCAAGCAAGAAGGAAAUAAAUAAAUAAAAAGAAAAAAUGAAAAUAAACUAUAGAUAUUUAAAAAAAAUGCAAAAAGUUGAUGACAUUAGUGUUGGUUGUGCCACAUUGCUGGCCAAAAUUAGUUGAAAGAACUAUAUUAGCAAAUCAUUAAAAGAUUUAUGAAUAAAUUGGCCAAAUUGAAGUAUUUAUGAUUAAAUUGGUAUCCGUAUAAUAUAUUUAACACUUUUUUUUUUUUUUGAAAUCUGUAUGGAUUAUGGCUCAAAGUUAGUUUCCACUAUUUUGAAAUUCGACCCACGAAUUACAAGUAAUCAUGCGCAAUAUUAAGCAAAGUCCAAAUCGGGCUCUUGUCAACAAGAUCAUGAGUAACGCAAGAAAUAUAUACUAACUUCUCAAAAAAUUUCUUUUUCUUAUUGAAGAUGAAGUCUAUGUUGAUGUCAGAAAAGUGCUCAUAGUUUCUUGCAUACAAAUAUUAUGUUGUUGAAUUUGGUCUGGUGUGCAUAGUUAGUGCGCUUAAUAUGUACGAAACUUGCAAGAGACACAAAGUGCACCGAGAGCCACAAUUCAAGAGAUUCGAGAGUUUAAGAAAAUUCCUCUCUUGCAAACGAUUUUUGUGGGUUCCUGCUGCAUUUAAAAAAAAAAAAAAACACUUAUAAGUGAGUAUGACUAACUGUAACUUUAUCAUCCUUGAUUAUUGUGGAUUUAUCUCUUUGAUCUCUCCUGGUAGACUAGGCAUAUAAUCAAACCACAUAAAUCUGUUAUUUUUUGGAUUUUAUCUAUGCAAUUUAUAUCUUAUUUUGGGUAUGCGUGUUUCAUAGAAAUCUUCUCGAUGGAAGAAUAUAUUUUCGCAAAAAAUCAUUUUCUAAGGAAAUUGCUUGUCUUUAGUUAUUUGAUGGGAUUCUUGAAGGCGAGACAAAAUUAUUUUCAAUGUUUAAACCUAACUUUAAGAAAUUAAAUGUUAUAAUUAUGGUUUGCUCUAGGGAUGUGCAUGGUCCGGGUGGGCGGUUCCCAACCUAGAACCGGGAACUGCCCGCUAAGGACCGGUUCCAAAAAAUUGGAACCGGGAUCCACCUGGGAACUGGACCGCCGGUCCGGUCCGGUUCCCGGGUAGAUCCAUGGAACCGAUUUUGACGCGAAACAAUUUUAGUUUUCAACAUAGAACGGUCGCGAAACAAUUUUUCGCGGCUGUGGCGGGUGGCAGUCAACGCGAGGGGGCGAACAGCAGCGGCGGAGGAGCAACGGCGGUGGCGUCGACGCUCAGGGAGGAAUUGAAAUGGCGAUAGGAUUAGGAGCAACCGAGGAAGAGACAAAGAGAGAGAGAGAACCAAAGACGAAGGGAGUGAGGCGAUGAGAUCUAAUAUAGGAUUUCUUUUAGUAAUUUUUUUUUGUAAUAUUAAAAAGGUUCCGAUCCGGUCCGGGUGGGCGGAUCCGCCCAUGGAACCGGGAACCGGACCGGUACCUACCGGUUCCGAAAAAUUGGAACUGAAAACCGGACUGGUUCCCUCAAGAACUGCCGGUUCUGGAUAGUUCCGGUCCAGUUUCGGGCGGUCCGGGCGAUUCUCGGGUAUUUUGCACACCCCUAGUUUGCUCCUAAUAUGCGAUACCAAAGUGAUAUCCAAAUCAUUGUCUAAAAUAUUACUAAUGUUUGGACUAUAAAAUUUUAUGGAUUUUUAUUAUCAAAAUAAUGCAACCUAAAAAAAGUACGCCCAAGAAGAAAAUGCAAAUAAUUAACAAAAUUAAUUGAUCAAUACUCCUUCGAACCAAAAAAAAAAAAAAUCAAUAAGUGCUCAUAAAAAUUUACGUGAAAAUAGAUUUCCAUUCCAAAAAAUUAAUCAAAGAGGGAUACACAAUAAAAAUUCAAACUGGAAAGAAAAAAAAAAAAGAAGAGGAAAAAGAAAAGUCAUCGUAAAAUUAAAGACAAGAACAUCCUAAAUUGACAUUUCCACGGACACCUCUUGUAUUAUCCUUCUAAAAUAUGUAUCAUACAGCCGAGUGACAAAUAACCAAAUAACAAUUUAGUCUACAGAGAUGCAACAAAUUGAGCAAUUGAAGCUAAUUCUAAUAUCAAUUUGAAGAGGAGAUGAAACAGUUUUGAGAGUUUGCUGUGAAGAAAAGAAAGGAUAGAGAGUGAAGACUAGUAGGGACAGAGGGAGAACAGGGGACGCUUGUAGAAAAUGAGUUUGAAAAAACCGAUUUCUUCUUUUUAGGAUAGAGAAGUCAUUUUCGUGGAUGUUGAGUAUUGUUUUUUUUUUCUUGCCUGAAAAGUUUUUUCAAUAGAUUGUCCAUUUUCAACAAAUCAAACGUGUUGACCUUUAGAAAAUCAUUUCAUGGAAGUCCUUUCCAUAAAAACAAUGACACCCUCCAAAUUGCUUCGAUUCUUCACAUUUUCACGCUAGUCAAAACAGUUCGAUCUUUCAAACCAGUUCAUUAAAAGGCGACGGCACGGUAAGGGAAGAUCCAUUUACAUCGACAUCUUAGAGAGGCACAGAAUGAAACUUUAUACCAAUACAGCAGAGAACAUAUCCUCCGGAAGAAUAACAGAGCAAUCGCACCCAAAAGUGCAGUAAGCGGGAAACUACUGGCUUCUGUUUCCCCACCAUUGCUACCAGAAAACAACCCCAUGCCCCUUCUUAUACGAGACACGUUUGCACUCAAAUGUCCUUUGUAUCAUAGCGGCAAUGCAAUGACAAACGGAAAACAACUUUCAAAAGGACGAGGCAAAAUAAGACUAUGCCGAUGAAAAUAAGUACAGAAAGCUGAAUCAUUCGCGAGAAACCACGACCACCUGUUUCCCGAAGUUGCGACCAGAGAACACCCUGACAAGAGCUGAUGGACCAUUCUCGAGCCCUUCUGCGAUGUCUUCCAUGUACACAAUCUUCCCCUCUUUAAUCUGAGGCAAUGCCGUCUCGAGGAACUUCGGGUAGAGAUGAUAGUAAUCAGUUACCACGAAACCUUCCAUCCGAACCCGCUUCAGGAUAAGGUUCAUCAAGUUGUGUAUGCCUUCGGGCUGCUCAAGAUUGUACUGUGAGAUCAUUCCGCAUAAUGUGAUUCGGCCAUGAAGUUUCAUGUUGAGCAGCACGGCAUCAAGCAUCUUUCCGCCGACAUUGUCGAAGUAGAUAUCGAUCCCCUCAGGGAAGCAUC
rnacentral:lncRNA from 1 species